rnacentral:rRNA from 1 species
UACGUAGGAGACGAGCGUUGUCCGGAGUUACUGGGCGUAAAGGGUGCGCAGGCGGCCCUGCGCGUCGCGAGUGAAAUCUCCCGGCUCAACUGGGAGGGUGGUCGCGAGACGGCAGGGCUUGAGGCUCGGUGAGGGGCGUGGAAUUCCGGGUGGAGCGGUGAAAUGCGUAGAUAUCGGGAGGAACACCAGUGGCGAAGGCGAUCACCUGGGGUUGUUCUGACGCUGAGGAGCGAAAGCUAGGGGAGCAAACGGG